rnacentral:rRNA from 1 species
GACGUAGGGGGCUAGCGUUGCUCGGAAUCACUGGGCGUAAAGCGCACGUAGGCGGAUUGCUAAGUCAGGGGUGAAAUCCUGGAGCUCAACUCCAGAACUGCCUUUGAUACUGGCGACCUUGAGUCCGGGAGAGGUGAGUGGAACUGCGAGUGUAGAGGUGAAAUUCGUAGAUAUUCGCAAGAACACCAGUGGCGAAGGCGGCUCACUGGCCCGGUACUGACGCUGAGGUGCGAAAGCGUGGGGAGCAAACAGG